rnacentral:rRNA from 1 species
UACAGAGGUCUCAAGCGUUGUUCGGAUUCAUUGGGCGUAAAGAGCUCGUAGGCGGUCUGUCGCGUCGGCUGUGAAAACCCGAGGCUCAACCUCGGGCCUGCAGUCGAUACGGGCAAACUAGAGUACUGCAGGGGAGACUGGAAUUCCUGGUGUAGCGGUGAAAUGCGCAGAUAUCAGGAGGAACACCGGUGGCGAAGGCGGGUCUCUGGGCAGUAACUGACGCUGGAGGAGCGAAAGCCGUGGGGAGCGAACAGG